rnacentral:rRNA from 1 species
GUCUAUGGUCAUACCACCCUGAAUGCACCGAUCUGGUCUGAUCUCGGAAGCUCAACAGGGUCAGGCCUGAUUAGUACUUGGAUGGGAGAAUAUACUUAUUUACGUAACUAAAGUUU